CCAAAAUGGAAGCCACAUGUGGCAACAAUCCACACCUGGGAAGAAGAAGUUGGUGUCACGUGUGCCUAUACAGUUUAGAAAGUUUGACAGCAGCUUUACAAGGCGAUAAUGUGUGACACUUGGCUGGAGCUUGCCGAAGAGGAGUAGACUUGUGACACUGCAAACAGUUUGUUAAAUGUUCUUUGUCUCAUCAAAAACAUCCCAUGUUUGAAUGUGAGAGAGGGCUAGACAACACGUUCGUGUUGGAAAUGGCAGCAAGUAGUGUGGACGAAAAAGAGGAAAUGGAGAUUUUGGCGAAGCAACAGCUGUGCUGUAAUGUGAACAAUAUGGGUGUCAAUUCUGAUGAUAUGGAGCGGGAGGAUGUGGGUCAAAGACCUGAAUGGUCUGUAGUGGAAAAAUAUAGGAAGAAGAGAGAUCAUGAUACUGAAAGCAGUGGAGCAUCUAGUAAAGGAAGCAUAAAGAGGGCCAAGGACCUGAGCCCUAGGACCAUGCCUCAGGACUACCUAGCCUGAUGACUCCUUGCUGUCCCCAGUCCACCUGGUCGUGCUGCGCUCCAGUUUCAACUGUUCUGCCUGCGGCUAUGGAACCCUGACCUGUUCACCGGACGUGCUACCUGUCCCAGACCUACUGUUUUCAACUCUUUAGAGACAGCAGGAGCGGUAGAGAUACUCUGAAUGAUUGGCUAUGAAAAGCCAACUGACAUUUACUCCUGAGGUGCUGACCUGUUGCACCCUCUACAACCACUGUGAUUAUUAUUAUUUGACCCUGCUGGUCAUCAAUGAAUGUUUGAACAUCUUGGCCAUGUUAUGUUAUAAUCUCCACCUGGCUCAGCCAGAAGAGGACUGGCCACCCCUUAUAGCCUGGUUCCUCCCUAGGAUUCUUCCUAGGUUCUGGCCUUUCUUGUCAGGAGCGUCGUAAAAAGUGGACCAAGGUGCAGCGGGUAUCGUGCUCAUCUUCCUUUUUUAUUUGGAUAAACGUGAACACUUAACAAAAAUAACAAACGACGAAAAACAGUCCUGUAAGGCUACACAGCUAUACAUGGAACAACUACCCACAAACACAGUGACAAAAACCCCCUACUUAAAUAUGGCCUCCAAUUAGAAGCAACGAAGAACAGCUGCUUCCAAUUGAAGGCCAAACCAAACCUGAACAUAGAAAUAGACUAAAUAGACAUUCAAACAUAGAAAUAGACAACAUGCGUCUGGGCAAUACAGUGCGCAUUUCCGCAUAGCUCGGUGCUUUCUCGAUCUGUCGCUCCCCGUAAUAAGCACGGGGAGUUGGCUCAGGUCUACGACCUGACUUAGCCAUACUACCCGUGUGCCCCCCCCCCCAAAAAAACAUUUUUGGGGCUGCCUCUCGCACUUGCCAAUCUCUUCGUAUAACGCCUCGUAAUGGCGCCGCUCCGCCUUGGCUGCCUCCAGCUCCUCCUUAGGGCGCCGGUACUCCCCAGCCUGGUGCCAAGGUCCUUCCCCAUCCAGGAUCUCCUCCCAGGUCCAUGACUCCAUAUAGUUCCUCUGCUGCUCCUUCCCCCGCUGCUUGGUCCUUUCUUGGUGAGUAGUUCUGUCAGGAGCGUCGUAAAAAGUGGACCAAGGCGCAGCGGGUAUCGUGCUCAUCUUCCUUUUUUAUUUGGAUAAAUGUGAACACUUAACAAAAAUAACAGACGACGACGACGAAAAACAGUCCUGUAAGGCUACACAGCUAUACAUGGAACAACUACCCACAAACACAGUGACAAAAACCCCCUACUUAAAUAUGGCCUCCAAUUAGAAGCAACGAAGAACAACUGCUUCCAACUGAAGGCCAAACCAAACCUAAACAUAGAAAUAGACUAAAUAGACAUUCAAACAUAGAAAUAGACAACAUAGAACAUUACCCAAAAACCCAAGACACAUAAAUCAAACACACCCCUGCCACGUCCUGACCAUACGAUAAUAACAAAAUGACCCUUUACUGGUCAGGACGUGACAUUUCUAGGGAGUUUUUCCUAGCCACCGUGCUUCUUCACCCGCAUUGCUUGCUGUUUGGGGUUUUAGGCUGGGUUUCUGUACAGCACUUUGUGACAUCAGCUGAUGUAAGAAGGGCUUUAUAAAUACAUUUGAUUGAUUGAUUGAUUGAUUGAUUGAUUGAUUGAUUGAUUGAUUGACUGAUUGACUGAUUGACUGAUUGACUGAUUGAUUGAUUGAUUGAUUGAUUGAUAUAAUGACAACUUACACUGUCAUAAAUGCAAGGACAGAAAAGUAAUGUUUUAUGUGACACGAUUUUGGACAAAUCCAUGAAGACACCAAUAGGGCUGUGGCAGUCACAGAAUUUCCACACAUAGCCUACAACACACUGACGCAGGAACAUCUACAUUUUAAAAAGUCUAAUAAAUCCAUGUAAUAUAGCCCACACCUUCACAAUGAAUCCAUUAUUUAUUUUAGACAGGUCUAAAGAAACAUCUUUUAUCCAAACGAUUUGAGGGAGAGCACACAUGCAUCUAUUCUGUGUUGAGCGGUUAACAAAGAAAUAGGUACUCUGUAAGGGCAAUUUCUGUUAAACCUUACUGAUGCUUGUAUACUAGAAGAUCUUUCCUUAAGCUUAGUUGCUUAGGCAGUAAUUUUGAUAUUGUUAAAGAAGCUAGAUCAUAUAAGAUAAAUGUGUGUGCAUUAGUAUAGGCCUGUUUUAACUUGUCUUGUGUGUGUAGUUUAGGAACCUACCUAGGGAAGUAGGUCCCCAUUGUCUGAUCUGGGCCCACAGCCAAGAGCUGACCAGAGCGACCAAUGGUUUCCUGUUAGUCAGAAGAGAAUGAACUGAUUACUCUUAAUCUACUGAAAACAGAGCAAAGUGUUGUAUCCUGGGCACCAGUGAUAAAGAUGUUGUCCUGGUAUUAGCUUGUUGCUGGGUGAAAGAUUCAUGAUUGUGUGUGUGGGUGUGUGGGUGUGAAACCAUCUAUCAUCUGGGCAGACAGCAAAAGGCACUUGCUGGCUAAUUUAUGAGGACCUGUUGCUCUGACACCUAUUGUCCUUUGUCCUCACUAGAAGAUUAGAAUAACCAGCAGUUGCUACAGGACGAGACAACCAAAUUCUGUACCUUUUCUCCCAGUUUAGUCCUGUUUCUCCACACACAUACACAUACCAAGAUCAUGUGUUUUGUAUAUGUUUGCAUAAGACAGCCUGACUAUAUAAGGUUCCUGCAUUUCUAGUG
rnacentral:lncRNA from 1 species